rnacentral:rRNA from 1 species
GAUGAACGCUGGCGGCGUGCCUAAUACAUGCAAGUCGAGCGAACGGACGAGAAGCUUGCUUCUCUGAUGUUAGCGGCGGACGGGUGAGUAACACGUGGAUAACCUACCUAUAAGACUGGGAUAACUUCGGGAAACCGGAGCUAAUACCGGAUAAUAUUUUGAACCGCAUGGUUCAAAAGUGAAAGACGGUCUUGCUGUCACUUAUAGAUGGAUCCGCGCUGCAUUAGCUAGUUGGUAAGGUAACGGCUUACCAAGGCAACGAUGCAUAGCCGACCUGAGAGGGUGAUCGGCCACACGGGAACUGAGACACGGUCCAGACUCCUACGGGAGGCAGCAGUAGGGAAUCUUCCGCAAUGUGCGAAAGCCUGACGGAGCAACGCCGCGUGAGUGAUGAAGGUCUUCGGAUCGUAAAACUCUGUUAUUGGGGAAGAACAUAUGUGUAAGUAACUGUGCACAUCUUGACGGUACCUAAUCAGAAAGCCACGGCUAACUACGUG